rnacentral:rRNA from 1 species
AAGAGGGGGACCUUCGGGCCUCUUGCCAUCGGAUGUGCCCAGAUGGGAUUUAGCUUGUAGGUGGGGUAACGGCUCACCAAGGCGACGAUCCCUAGCUGGUCUGAGAGGAUGACCAGCCACACUGGAACUGAGACACGGUCCAGACUCCUACGGGAGGCAGCAGUGGGGAAUAUUGCACAAUGGGCGCAAGCCUGAUGCAGCCAUGCCGCGUGUAUGAAGAAGGCCUUCGGGUUGUAAAGUACUUUCAGCGGGGAGGAAGGGAGUAAAGUUAAUACCUUUGCUCAUUGACGUUACCCGCAGAAGAAGCACCGGCUAACUCCGUGCCAGCAGCCGCGGUAAUACGGAGGGUGCAAGCGUUAAUCGGAAUUACUGGGCGUAAAGCGCACGCAGGCGGUUUGUUAAGUCAGAUGUGAAAUCCCCGGGCUCAACCUGGGAACUGCAUCUGAUACUGGCAAGCUUGAGUCUCGUAGAGGGGGGUAGAAUUCCAGGUGUAGCGGUGAAAUGCGUAGAGAUCUGGAGGAAUACCGGUGGCGAAGGCGGCCCCCUGGACGAAGACUGACGCUCAGGUGCGAAAGCGUGGGGAGCAAACAGGAUUAGAUACCCUGGUAGUCCACGCCGUAAACGAUGUCGACUUGGAGGUUGUGCGCCUUGAGGCGCGGCUUCCGGAGUUAACGCGUUAAGUCGCCGGCCUGGGGAGUACGGCGGCAAGGUUAAAACUCAAAUUAAUUGACGGGGGCCCGUCACAAACGGUGGAGCAUGUGGUUUAAUCCGACGUAACGCGAAGAACCUUUUCUGGUCUUGACGUCCUUGGAAGUUCUCAGAGAAGAGAAGGAUCAUUCGGGAGCCCUGAGACAGAUAUUGCACGGCGGUCCUUAGCUUGGGAGUUGAAACGGUGGGUUAAGUCCCAGCAGAGGAGGGUAAUCCUUAUCGUCCAUUGCGAGAUGUUCGCCCGGGAGAUCAAAGGAGCCUCCCACAGAUAAAUUCCAUGAAGGCGGGUAUGACGUCAAGUGAUCAUGAGCUCCCCGUCCAGGGUCACACGCGGGUAACAAGGGUGCAUACAAAGAGAAGGGACCUAUCGCGAUCAAUCGGGCAUCAUAAAGUGCGUUGUUGUCCGGUUUGGCGUUUGUAAGUAAAGAACCAGAAGUCGGCAUGGUUAGUAAUGGUGGAUAAGAAUGACGCGGUGAACAAGUUCCCGGUCCGAGCACGCACCGCCCUUCA